rnacentral:misc_RNA from 1 species
GAAAUGCGAUAAGUAGUGUGAAUUGCAGAAUUCAGUGAAUCAUCGAAUCUUUGAACGCACAUUGCGCCCCUUGGUAUUCCAUGGGGCAUGCCUGUUCGAGCGUCAUUUACAACUUCAAGCUUUGCUUGGUGAUGGGUGCUGUCUGCAGAGACUCGCCUUAAAUGAAUUGGCAGCAGAUUAUCAGAAGUUCUGUGCAGCACAUUGCGCUCCUUCUUGGUGUCUACGUCCAGUAAGCAUUUUCUAGUUUGACCUCGGAUCAGGUAGGGAUACCCGCUGAACUUAA